UGGCGGCACUAGCGCGGUGGUCCCACCUGACCCCAUGCCGAACUCAGAAGUGAAACGCCCGUAGCGCCGAUGGUAGUGUGGGGUCUCCCCAUGUGAGAGUAGGGAACUGCCAGGCA
rnacentral:rRNA from 1 species